rnacentral:snoRNA from 1 species
AAACCAUGGUGUGGACAGCUCCUCAGUAGAUCCUUAAAAUGUUUCCAACAAUCGUACAACGUCUCAUUCUCUUGCUGAAGAAAUCCUGCUAUGUCAUUUCUCAACUU